CGCCAUCACUGUCUCCUUCUACUUCUUCCUUCCUCACAUUCUUCUUCCUCUUCUUCUUCUUCGUCUGCAAAAUUCCUAAAACCCUAAUAAUCACCGAAAUUCAAUUUCACCAUUAUCUUCAUCUCUGUAAAUAGCUUUCCAAUCCCAAUCCCACGUAUGGUUUCGUAUCAUCAAACAGAGAAAUCAGAAUCGCCAACUUUCUAAAUACCAAAACGAAGAUUCAGUCUUUGAAGAAGAUGAAGCUUGUAUAUCUUCUCUGCUUCGUAAUCCUUUCCAUGGCGACUCGUUCCGAUUCGCGGCCGCAGAAGAAGGUGGCGGCGACGACGACGGUGUACGAUGCGUUGAAGCAGCACGGGCUGCCGAUGGGGCUGUUGCCGAAGGGCGUGAAGGACUUCGAAAUCGACGAGAACGGGAAUUUCCAAGUUCAUUUGGAUAAGGCCUGCAAUGCCAAGUUCGAGAGCGAGUUGCAUUACGACAGGAACGUCUCGGGGACGCUGAGCUACGGCCAGAUCGGGGCCUUGUCGGGGAUUUCGGCGCAGGAGCUCUUCCUCUGGUUUCCGGUGAAGGGGAUUCGCGUCGACAUACCUAGCUCCGGCCUCAUCUACUUCGACGUCGGUGUCGUCUUCAAGCAAUUCUCUCUCUCGCUCUUCGAAUCCCCACCCGAGUGCGUCGCUGUUCGGACUCUCGACCGGAAUGAUUUUUCAGAUUCAAAGAGGGAAUCGGGGAAACUUCGAUAUCAGCGUGAUCAAGAAACUUUUGGGAGAGACGUUGUGUAGGAUCGAUCAAGGAUUAUAUAUAUAUUGGAGGGAAACGGUUGAAAUGAAAAUUUUUAAGUUGGCCUAUAGCUCAAUCAGCUUAUGGGUAAUCUCUACUCCACCAUGUAUAUUUCUUUUUCCCCUGUGAUACGGAGUCUAGGUUUUUUCUGUGGGUCCUGAUAGCUUCCUUUCCAGACUUCCAUUGUGUGCUUGCGUUGCUUGCCAUUUUGUUUUUCCUUUCCCCGCUGUAGUGCAGAGAGUCUGCAAAUUAGUCCCGCCUGCUCCUGCGGAUGUUGUUGGGAGGUGGUUGUGAAAAAACGCGAGGGAAAUUCGGAUGAGCGGCGAAUGAUUGGUUCGCACAUUGUAGAAGAGGAUUCAAGUGAGGCAGGAGCAUUCUCGGGUGAGUUGAGGCGAAUUCAGGUGACGAAUCUGCGAAAAGUGGUUUUACAUUGUGUAAACCUUGACGGACUCUAUUUCCAUUGACAAAGAGUACUUGAGCAGAUGGUUUGACUAGUGAUGCUUUUGAGACUAAGUCUCUACUUCUGCAGUGGAUUUUUGAUCUAGAGGUCAUUUCUCCAAGACCAAAUUUUCACCUUGUUUCUUCAAUAGCCAGUAAUAGUCGUUAUCAACUUUCUAAUUUUUGGUUUGGCUAGGUAGACAUACUAACACUUGUAUUCCGAAAUUUUUUUUUUUUUUAUAACUCUAUUCGGUUGGUUACUUUGGACGAGUUUUACUGAAUAUUUGUUUUUUUGCACGUCUGUGGUUGGUGAGGUAUGUUUUAAAAUUUAAGACGUGAUAGUUUAAAAGCUUAUUCUGUACUUUGAAUCUUUUCGUUUUUUGGUUUAGGGUUUUCUUUAUGUUGUCCCCUAGUCACUGAUGGACACAUCGGUGGUUGUUGGUUCAUUGAUGACAUUUUGUUUUGUGAUACUCGUAUGAGGCUAACUUUGUUUUGCGUUUAUUCAGGGACAUUUUCUCUUUCAGGUUAACUGCUGUCCUUUUCCAUAAUUAGUCCUCUCUCUCGAUGACAUUAUGGUUGUAAGUAAAGUUCUCAACUAGUUGCUACUACUUUUUAUCGUAUGAAAAGGAUGCCUAGUUGAGAUGGAACAUAACAACAUCUUAGCACUUGUUUUAUAUUAGUGGAUGAGUCAAAAUAAUUAUUCUCAAGUUAUUGCUUCAAUCUGAGGAUUAGACUGCAUUGCGCUGUGUUGAAGUCGGUUGCUAACUUGUUGGUCACGUAAUGCAGGGCCUGGAUUCGACCUUCAUGGUCUAUUUGAAUUUUCUUAUUCGUUGCAUUUGUAGAAAAGAAUUUCUGGCAUAUUUUUUCCAUCAACUUAGUUAUAGUUUUCGACAUACUGAAACUAACCCUGUUCCGAAGAUUUGAUUCUGGAAAACUUUGUUGAAUAAACUUUACUGCUUGAGUGCUUUCUUCUUUGGCUGAAAGUUUGGUACAGAAUUAAGACAUUGGUGGACCGUAUAACAACGUUGAAAUUUCAUAGGACGAAUUUGUGAGAAAAUAGUCAGGUUCAUUUAAAAAAAAAAAAAAAAGGUUUAGAUCUGUCUUUAGUUGUAGUUUUGGCAGGGUGUUUGUCUGAUCUCUCGACAUCCCAUGUGUACCGGCACCCAGUAUGUUUGUUCAAUUAAAGAUCCAUGUGGUCCUGCUCAGUUUAUUAGGCGGGUACUGUUGUAUACUUGCACACAUAAUGGCAAUACAGACAAAGAUGGCCAGCAGGAUCAGAUGCCAUUGGAGAGAAGCAAACGUAAUACUGUUCAUUCUGUGAGUAACAAAUAGAAAUAGGUACUGGUUGGAAGUUGGAACUUAAUUUGACUAAAAAGAGAGUAAAAAAGAAACACGACAAACAUGACAAAAAAUCCAGCAUCGUCUUCUUAUUGGAUUUACCAAUGAAACUAACCAUUUCAACGAAAAUAAAUUUCACCAAGAUUAGACUAUGAUAUAAAAGCAACUGUCAAAGUCAUUUGGCUACUCAAACUUGCAAAAUUUUGACCAAAUUGUCGCAAUCGAAUGUUCUUAAGAAUAUCUUAUAGCUCCAAAACAAAGUGUGGGUCAGAUGGGGAAAGGGGAAAAAAGAGUUUGUAGAGAAAAAAUGCUGGAUAUCUUUAAUCGAGAAUGAUAUAUAAACACUUCUUUUUUGCUCCGGGUUUAUGCUAUGCUUCUCUUUGGUAGAUGUGUUCAUAAUCUAAACGAGUGCAAGUUGUAUGUGUAUUUCCCAUAAACCAGCUUUAGUAAUUGAGGAACUUUUCUGAUUUCUGAUGAAUGAACUUUCUUGUGGCAUAUAGUUGGUGGACUGAGGAAUUAAAUGUAAAACUCCUUUAAACCACGUUUAUUUGGCUAUCCGCUUAAACGAAGGGAUUAAAAAAAAA